UUCCGGUUGAUCCUGCCGGAGGUUACUGCUAUCGGUGUUCGCCUAAGCCAUGCGAGUCAUAUGUAGCAAUACAUGGCGUACUGCUCAGUAACACGUGGAUAACCUGCCCUUGGGACCGGCAUAACCCCGGGAAACUGGGGAUAAUUCCGGAUAACGCAUAUGUGCUGGAAUGCUUUAUGCGUAAAAUGGAUUCGUCUGCCCAAGGAUGGGCCUGCGGCCUAUCAGGUAGUAGUGGGUGUAAUGUACCUACUAGCCAGCGACGGGUACGGGUUGUGAGAGCAAGAGCCCGGAGAUGGAUUCUGAGACAUGAAUCCAGGCCCUACGGGGCGCAGCAGGCGCGAAAACUUUACAACGCGGGAAACCGUGAUAAGGGGACACCGAGUGCCAGCAUCAUAUGCUGGCUGUCCAGGUGUGUAAAAUACACCUGUUAGCAAGGGCCGGGCAAGACCGGUGCCAGCCGCCGCGGUAACACCGGCGGCCCGAGUGGUGAUCGUGAUUAUUGGGUCUAAAGGGUCCGUAGCCGGUUUGGUCGGUCCUCCGGGAAGUCUGAUAGCUCAACUAUUAGGCUUUCGGGGGAUACUGCCAGACUUGGAACCGGGAGAGGUAAGAGGUAC
rnacentral:rRNA from 1 species